rfam:Xanthomonas fragariae strain PD5205 genome assembly, chromosome: 1
AUGUACCCCUCGUACACUGCGUUUCCUCUGCGCCGUCCGCACCCACCUGGCGACUGCUCGCUACGUUUUGUUAGCC